AGGGAUGACGGCCUUCGGGUUGUAAACCUCUUUUAGCAGGGAAGAAGCGUGAGUGACGGUACCUGCAGAAAAAGCGCCGGCUAACUACGUGCCAGCAGCCGCGGUAAUACGUAGGGCGCAAGCGUUAUCCGGAAUUAUUGGGCGUAAAGAGCUCGUAGGCGGUUUGUCGCGUCUGCUGUGAAAUCCCGAGGCUCAACCUCGGGCCUGCAGUGGGUACGGGCAGACUAGAGUGCGGUAGGGGAGAUUGGAAUUCCUGGUGUAGCGGUGGAAUGCGCAGAUAUCAGGAGGAACACCGAUGGCGAAGGCAGAUCUCUGGGCCGUAACUGACGCUGAGGAGCGAAAGGGUGGGGAGCAAACAGGCUUAGAUACCCUGGUAGUCCACCCCGUAAACGUUGGGAACUAGUUGUGGGGUCCUUUCCACGGAUUCCGUGACGCAGCUAACGCAUUAAGUUCCCCGCCUGGGGAGUACGGCCGCAAGGCUAAAACUCAAAGGAAUUGACGGGGACCCGCACAAGCGGCGGAGCAUGCGGAUUAAUUCGAUGCAACGCGAAGAACCUUACCAAGGCUUGACAUACACGAGAACGGGCCAGAAAUGGUCAACUCUUUGGACACUCGUGAACAGGUGGUGCAUGGUUGUCGUCAGCUCGUGUCGUGAGAUGUUGGGUUAAGUCCCGCAACGAGCGCAACCCUCGUUCUAUGUUGCCAGCACGUUAUGGUGGGAACUCAUGGGAUACUGCCGGGGUCAACUCGGAGGAAGGUGGGGAUGACGUCAAAUCAUCAUGCCCCUUAUGUCUUGGGCUUCACGCAUGCUACAAUGG
rnacentral:rRNA from 1 species